CGACCAGGAUUACGAUGAGGGCGAGACGUUGAAGCUGGCGUCGUCAACUGUGACCACAACCGCGACCGUAACAUCGAUCGUGAGAGUGAGGGGUCAGCCCUUGACAUAGACCGUGUUGUCCCCUUGUGUUUCUGUCCAGCCGAGCUCCGGUUCCGGCAACUCCCAUUCCAGCCGAUCCCUUCCAGGAGCCUUCAGCUGAGCGAGCAACUUCCAUUCCACCGAAGCAGACAUCUAGAGGUUCCACUGCUUGGGCGGAAGCUUUGCUGGAUUGAUAUGCAUAUGCAUUUUUCAUCCUCUCUUAAUGUAGGCCAUGAAAAUAGGUCUCUUUCAGUUACCACAUACUUUAGUUUUUUUCUACUUACUAUCAUCUCUACUUUCUUGUCAAAUUAAGCAACUAAUAAAUGAAUAUGUGCAUAGUCCUAGCAUUUUUGCACUCAGUUAUGGGGCCAUAUAUAUGUUAAACCAAGACUAAGUGUGCUCUGCUAUUCGGCAACUUAAUGCAGUCUCAUGUGACCAUUUCAUUUCUAAUGUUGCUUUUCUCUCUCCAGAGCGCUAAUGAUACUAAAAUUGCAUGAGUCCAUGAAGCAAGCAAUAAUCUAUCUCAAAAAAUUGUGUCCAAGCAUAUAACGGUUCAUUAAUUUUCAAAAUCUGACUAUGGCUAUGUAGCACGCUGAAAAGACAAGAGAAUAAUGCCUGCAUAUGUCCGAGCUAUGCCGCCUCCCACCAAACUCGAGCUCGGCUCUCUCGCAUGCAAGGCUAAGCUAUCUCCACCGACUCCUUUUUCUGUCCGAGCUCCUCCCUACCCUGGCAAAACCAAAUUCUACAAUCUCCUUUUUUUGGCAUUCUAAAACUUAUGUCAGUUCACUAUCAUGGAUAGAUUAGUGAUAAUGAGGUUAGGAUCACUACAUUGGAGAGGAUGAGAAGCUAUACUGGCUACGAUAUGUUGCUUGAGGCUUCCAUUGUACAACAUCAAGUUAUACUGUUACACCGAUAAUAAACUUUUACCUAUCAAUAACCGCCUAUUUACUCUUCGACGGACCAGCCUAUAAAUAAGCGAGCAACUGAGCUAGAUGUUCAUUGUCGAGUGCCCAAACCCAGGCUCGAAGUCAACUUAGGUCUGAGUUUUCUUAAAUUGGCAUUAUGGAAGUUGAGUACCUUAAUUAUUCUCCAUAUUUGUGAUAUACUAAAUGUUUUAUCGUGAUGUUCUUGCCUUUGUUGCAUUUGAGCGGGGGAAAGAACAUCAAUUUUGCUUUUUACAGGGAAGACAAAGAAGUACGUUAUUGAUGGGAUAUGGACCCUGGCUUUUAGCGAUGAUCAAUGUUGCAAGGCAACAGAGGCCAUGGUUAUUGAAGAGACGAAAGCUCUAGCAAAGUUCAGUUGGCAAAUAAUUGAAGCGAUUGGAUGAAAUUAACAUGCGAAUGGCUUGCAUUGUCCUUAGCUUUCCCACGAAACAUUUUCUGAUUCAUGGCUCAUGUUUAAUAAAUUUUCAUCAUCUUGAUACCUUUAUAUGAAACCAUAA